rnacentral:rRNA from 1 species
GAUGAACGCUGGCGGCGUGCCUAAUACAUGCAAGUCGAGCGAACGGACGAGAAGCUUGCUUCUCUGAUGUUAGCGGCGGACGGGUGAGUAACACGUGGAUAACCUACCUAUAAGACUGGGAUAACUUCGGGAAACCGGAGCUAAUACCGGAUGAUAUUUUGAACCGCAUGGUUCAAAAGUGAAAGACGGUCUUGCUGUCACUUAUAGAUGGAUCCGCGCUGCAUUAGCUAGUUGGUAAGGUAACGGCUUACCAAGGCAACGAUGCAUAGCCGACCGGAGAGGGUGAUCGGCCACACUGGAGCUGAGACACGGUCCAGACUCCUACGGGAGGCAGCAGUAGGGAAUCUUCCGCAAUGGGCGAAAGCCUGACGGAGCAACGCCGCGUGAGUGAUGAAGGUCUUCGGAUCGUAAAACUCUGUUAUUAGGGAAGAACAUAUGUGUAAGUAACUGUGCACAUCUUGACGGUACCUAAUCAGAAAGCCACGGCUAACUACGUG